GAAGAAAGCUGGAUGAUCCGGAUGAGGGCAUUAAGUGCACCCUCAGUAAGUUUGCAGAUGACACCAAGUUAGGCGCGUGUGUCGAUCUGCUCGAGGGUAGGAAGGCUCUGCAGGAGGAUCUGGAUAGGCUGGACUGAUGGGCUGAGGUCAACUGCAUGAAGUUCAACAAAGCCAAGUGCCAGGUCCUCCACCUGGGGUGCAAUAACCCCAAGCAGAGCUACAGGCUGGGAGAUGAGUGGUUGGAGAGCUGCCUGGCGGAGAAGGACCUGGGAGUGAUGGUUGAUAGUUGGCUGAAUAUGAGCCAGCAGUGUGCUCAGGUGGCCAAGAAGGCCAACAGCAUCCUGGUUUGCAUAAGAAACAGUGUGACCAGCAGGGCUAGGGAGGUGAUCAUCCCCCUGUACUCAGCUCUGGUGAGGCCGCACCUUGAGUACUGUGUUCAGUUUUGGGCCCCUCACUACAAGAAGGACAUCGAGGUGCUUGAGCGGGUCCAGAGAAGGGCAACCAAGAUGGUGAGGGGCCUGGAGAACAAGUCCUAUGAGGAGUGGCUGAGGGAGCUGGGGUUGUUCAGCCUGGAGAAAAGGAGGCUCAGGGGCGACCUUAUCGCUCUCUACAGGUACCUUAAAGGAGUCUGUAGUGAGGUGGGGGUUGGCCUGUUCUCCCACGUGCCUGGUGACAGGACGAGAGGGAAUGGGCCUAAGUUGCGCCAGGGGAGUUUUAGGUUGGAUGUUAGGAAGAGCUUCUUUACCGAAAGGGUUGUUAGACAUUGGAACCAGCUGCCCAGGGAAGUGGUGGAGUCACCAUCCCUGGGAGUCUUUAAAAGACAUUUAGAUGUAGAGCUUAGGGAUAUGGUUUAGUGGGGACUGUUAGCGUUAGGUCAGAGGUUGGACUCAAUGAUCUUGAGGUCUCUUCCAACCUAGAAAUUCUGUGAUUCUGUGAUUCUGUGAAUGCAGCAGUCCAAUGGUACUAAGCUUCUUCAUUUUUUUUCCCUAUAAAUAUAUAAAAUGAAAGAUUUAUUUGGAUUCUGGUGCCUUCUUAGGGUAAAAAAAU
rnacentral:lncRNA from 1 species